GUGCUUAAUUUUGAUUUAGCCCAUUUAUAUUACCCUGUUCCUUGAUGACUUUUGCUUUCUUUAUCCUAUUUAUAAGAAGACUCUCCUUAUCUUCAACAUCAUAAACGCAGUUUUCAAUAUUCUCUUCUAUUUUUAAAAAGUAUUAAGUCUUUCAUCCAUCUGGGCCUUAUUUUAGUAAAUGAUGUAAAGUAAGAUCUAAUUUUAUGCACUAGUCAUUGAGCUAAGAGCUUUACGUGCGUGAUCUCAGUCACUCACACUAUCCGAAAAGUUUGGCACGCUCACAUCCAUCUUCCAGAUGAGGAAACAAACUGAGAGAGAUGCAGUCAUUUGCCUCAAGGUCCCAAAGGUCAACAUAGAGCGGUCACCUGAAAUGACAUCCACCACUGAGAUGACCCAGGUCUGUGUGUACCCAAGUGCCUCCUCUGGAGUUCCCUGCAGGUUGAACAUUGACUGAUCACAAUGAGAGGAGGAAUUUGGACCAAGUAGAGAAGAGCCUUUCUCAUGUAGGAACUGAAAUUACUGAGCAUCUCUGAAGACCAGGGAGACAAGCUCCAAAGCAGGCAGCUGACCUCUGAAAAGGACAAAGAAUCCCACAGUCUCAGCACCACCACUCAAAUGUAUCAGCUUUGGGCACCACUAACUCUAGGCUAUGAGACUUCUUUGGGGGCAUCCAACCCAGACAGGUCUUGCACCUCACUGAGUAGAACACCGGUCCAGGCUUGGCUCCUCUGUCUUUACAGCAGCAGGGGGCCAGCAGGCUGCGAGCACAAGCUCUCCUUCAUUACCCAUUUCUGCUGGGCCCCUGACUGGGGAGGCUAAGUAUGGGAUGGGGGUGUUCCAAGGGUCAACAAAAGGAGGAGGAUGAAGGGAAAAGCCGGCCAGCUGAGGGGAAAAGCUCUUUCUGCUAUUACUGUGCCCAUCACACAGCCCCCCACCCACUCACCUGUAUGGGCUGGAAGCCUGGCCCAAUUGUUGCAUCUUUCCCCAAAGAAGUGUGUGAAACACACACUUAGAAUGCAGAGCGGUGGCUCCAGGCACCCUCGGCAUUUACUAUAAAUCACAGAGACAGGAGAGCUAUGAGUCCCCACCUGCAGAAUCACUGAAGCAGCUACUCUGGGCAUAUCUUACCUGAAAACGGUUUUCCUGCUUCCUCCACAGCCCAUCGGGGUUUGGGGGCCAAACACAGAGAAGCUAUUCCCUGGGGCAGCAUUCUUGAGUCCUGGAAAAGUGUUUUUGAUAUGAUCCUGACAUCAAGACCCUCUUAAAUGCUGGCAUUUUCUGACCUUCCUUACAACUAUUUUCCCCUGAAACCAUGCCUUCCAUGCCUGCCCUCAUGUCCUGUGGUUUUUUUUUUUUUUUUUUUUAAUGUUCUGCCAUGAUUAUGUGUGUUUAUUAUCUUCUUCCCACUAAUAGACGUUAAGCUCCUUAAGGGAAGAACGGGUCGUCUUUGUGGGAGAUCAGUAAAUUCUAUUUAAUUUCUUUUUAAAAAGGUACAAGGAAAAAAUUCAAUCUUCUUUUUCUUAAUAGAUCUUUUCUCCAAAUCAGCUGCUUUCUUCUCUCUGCUCAGAACAGAAUGUAGUCAUCCCCCUAUUUAAGCCUUUAUUCAGGCCAUUCGCCCCAUCUGGGAUGCCCUUUCUUCUCUGAGUUGAUGUUUAGACUCUCAGUUGUGUUGCUCAAGCUGCCCUUGAUAUGCUCAUUUUAACUGUAUGUCGUAUGCUAUAUAAUGGGAGGAGAAAGAAGAAGUGGCCCUUUCUGCGGGGCUUCCCCUGAGUCUCCCUCUUGGCCCUAGAGCUGACCUUGUGUGUCCCAGCCAUGGAAGAGGCUGUGCACAGCAGCUCAGCAGGCCUGUGCUCCAGACCAGGCAGUCCUGCCCUCUGCUCUUCAUACCCAAUCCCAUCAUCAUCAGGCAGGUGACGCCCUCUAGAUGCACCUACUCAAGCACAGAUGCUGCUUGGAAGGGAUGGGGAGGCUCACUGGGCCCAGGCUGUCAGCAUACCAGCCCACCUCAGUUAACGACUAACUCGUGUAUUCUGUUGGCUUUGUCACCUCGUGGUGGGCAGUUUCCUACCCAGAUCCCCCAGCUUUCCUUCCUCGAACCCAAAUUCACAUGAUAGAGCUUGUCCCCAUGCAAUCUGGAUUUAGCAGACAUCUCUACUGGUGGAUUAGUGGGAGAAAAGCAACAUUUCCUUUACUAAAAUGUGUUGAAUUUAAAAAGAUUAAAACAUGAUUUCCCUCCCUCCACCUGCCUCAGUGGAGGUGUCUUCCCCUUAGAUAAACGUCGGGCUUAUUGAUUAUUGGAUUAUACAUGUUGGUUUCUUGAGGUCAUCAGGCAAGGACACACCUGGAUGCCCUUUGUAGGGCACCAUAAUUUUCAGUGUUGACUGCAGAGAAGUGGAUUCUCUGCAGGAAAGGGGAACUUUGAGUGGUCUGGGCCUCUCUUGCCUUGCUCCCUUGGCCAUGGAGCUUGUGAGGGUCCCAGUGAACUUGAAUUAGGCCCCAUGUGGUGGGCUCUGUUGCCUCACAACAGCAUCUUGUUUUGUCAGGCUAUCCCAGUGGUGCUCAACCUCUUAGCUUAUUUUGCUUAUUUUACCCUGAGUCUGGUUAUGUUCCAGUUUGGGCAGAAUGCAGGUAAGUUGUGUGUGUGCCCAGCCUGGCUGUGAAUGUGGUAGUGAGCGAGAGUCUCCCCAGGACAGCCUGGCUCAGUGGCAGGUGCAGGUGGUCAAGGUUCAACUUCUCCCUGUCCCUUGUGGGCAGUCUUCAGCAUUGCCAGCCCUGAGCGAUGUGGGUUUAUGUCAGAGGGAGAGGUGGUUUCCUUGUCAAUUCCCUGCAGGAUUACUUUAGGCAGAGUCCAUUUAUUUUCCGCACCUGCAUGAAUGAUCGUAUGGGAAAAUGUGGCAUAGGGUGUAGUUUUACAACAGGGCAGAUAGAGACAAACUCUGCUGGGGGAAUGGAGGGAGAUUUCAGGGGUUUGGGAGGUUUGAGAGUGAGUAAGAAUUUGCCGAGGACAGAGCCGGAAGAGCACAUGACCAUUGAGGGCAUGUUUUGUCCCCAGAAGAGAGUUGAGCCAGUAAAAGGGUGGAGGCAUCUGGGGAAGAGAUGGGAGAUGGGGGUGGGGGAGUGAAGGGCCAUCAGGCUUUAGUGACACACAAAACCUUGAGUGUGACCAGGAAUUUGGAUUUCUGUGUAUAAUAGGGAGCGCCCUUCUGAAGGCAGUAUAGGUUGGUUUGAUUUAGAAAACCCACUUAGGAGGCUGGAGUGAUGAAACUGGAUUGCGUUUUUCCAGGAAGAAGACCUCCUUGAGAAGAAGGUGGGUGAAGGCAACAAGCAAUUGACACGGAUCGAGCAUCUAUACUGGGUAGCUUUGUGUGCGGCUCUCUCAGGGCUUGUGGUCAUCUAUAGAGGAGCCCAGCAAGUGAAGAGUUUUCUAAAUCAAACCAACUUAUACUGCCUUCAGAAGGGCACUCCCUUUUAUAGACAGAAAUCCAAACAGAAUUCCAGCAUAAAGAGGAGUUCAGCUGCACAGCAAUGACUUCUUCAGUCACCUUUGGUUCCUUGUUGAGGGAGGGUCUGUGGUCACUGAGGGCCAAGGGCCAUAGCUCUCAGGUUUCAGAAGUGGCCCCUUGAAGAAGCCUGUGGGAAGUGAAUUGCAGCUGUGAUUCAAGUCAGGUCAACCAGGAGUUUCAGAGUUCAUAAUGAGCCCAGGACACCCUCUUUCCUGGGGGUCAGCUUAGGCAGUAGAGACUGCACACCUGCACUGGGGGGCCCAUCCUCUGUGCAGGGGAAACAGUCCAAAUGCCCAGGACUUUAAUAGGAUGGCAGUGCUGCUUAGACUCCCAGGCAGUGCUGUCUAGGUGGGAAAUGGGCUAGGACAGGGAUAGGUGAGAUCUGAAGAGGUAGAGAGCACAAAAUGCAGGCAUCCCUCAAAAGAAACACAUCCAAAUGGUUUUGCAAGUACCAUUAGCUAAUGUGGUUGAGUGUCUUUAUGUGUAGAAUUAUGUAAAGAGUCAUGAAGGCAGGUCAAGACCAAAGUGAAGUGGUGCCCCUGCUUUCUUGGGGCCCACUUGCCAUGGAAGACACGAUCACUCAUUCAUUCAUCCCACAAAUACUGAACUCUCACCAUGAGCUGGCUCUGCACUAGAUGUGGGGACACGACCCUAAAAGGGAGGGAGGCAUAGCAAACUAAUACAGUGAAGGGGAUAAUCUGUAUUGGUUUGAAAGGGAUAAACUCUCUAAAUAAUACCUGUGAGGUCUUAGGAGGCUGGAGUGAUGAAACUGGAUUGCAUUUUUCCAGGAAGAAGACCUCCUUGAGAAGAAGAUAGGUGAGUGAAGGCAACAAGCAAUUGACACGGAUCGAGCUUCUACACCGGGAAGUAUUCCCUGUGAACCCAUGAGACCUCAUCCCUGUGUUGGUCUGGCUGGCUUUCCCUGUGAGAUACAGGUUCCUCCAGAAGAGCUGGAGCUCCAUUCCAGCCCUAGACUUCUCCUUGCUUCCAGACUUCAAGAUGAGAAGCAUUUUUCCAGUCCACAAGUGUUAGAGGACACUGCCGAUGAUGUGUGUUUUGCCCAGGCUGGACUCAGCUUCUUUGGGCUCAAGUACCCAAUCAAUAACCGCCUCAGCUCCAGAGCUCAUAGAACCAGUGGAACUUCUCCCCAGAUUCUGACCAAGGUGUGUGUAUUAGUUAGCACUGUUAGUCUCCUCUUUUCUCAUGUUGUUUUCCAAUGGGGCUUUAGAAAAAGUGAAGUCCUAUACUUAGGUAGGAAGAGGCCAUCUUGAGGAAAAAAAUAGAACAAACUGCUCUUAGUGGAAGUACACCUGGAAUCCCAGGAGAGAACGGCUGAAACAACAAGCCCUAUCCCAGUGCACCUCUAAUCUUUUGAUUAGAAAAGAGGGAGGCCUCUUUUCAUGAGAAAUCAGAUAGUCCCAUGAGGAUGGUGCUCUCACACUGAUGGAGAGCAAUUCAGGGAAUGAGUCUGGGCCCUGCCUCCGAGCUCUACAGAAACGAUGCCCGGACUCUUUCCCACCAAGUAGGCCUACUGUGUCCAGCUUCUUAUGGAUCUCAUAAAAUUUUGUUUCCCAAGUGAACCAGUUUAGUGAAAAUAUGUUUUCCCAUUUUAACUGCUCCCUUAACUUCCAAAGUGCGUAUGAUAUUCCAGAUUAUCACACUAAACUGCUGUCAUUCCUGGCAAGAGCAAAGAAGGCUCUGUUUCAUGAGCCAGAGGAGCUUGCUGUGGGUAGACAACUCGAGCCAGGCUUUUAGAAGCUUUGAAGAUAGAGCAAUUUACUGCUUUUAAUGACAUUCAUUUUGGUGUCUUUCAUAUUUAUAAAAAAGGAACAACCAAAUAGACCAGGGGAGUGCUUACGUAUACAUCUGUUGGGUCUGGCACCUCCUGGUCAUGCUCUCGGUAGGGAGUGCCUUCUGGAACCACCAGUCUAGUGGUCCUCUCCCCACCCACAUCCCUCUCCAUUUUGCCAUCUGUUUUAUUCACACAUAAUAUGUAUGGUCUAUACUUAUCUGAUAUAUGCACUUCUUGCUUGUCCUCCCCCUCGGGAAUGUACACUUGAUGAGAGUAGGGGUCUUGCCUGUCUUAUCCACUGCAUAGCUCCAGUCAAGAGAAGUCAUUGCCAUGGAAAAGGCACUCGACAAAUAUGCCUUUAACUUGUUGAAUGAAACUAUCAAAUUCCUGAUGGUGGAAGUCUGGACACUGGAGUCCCAGGUGGGGAAAGAAACCAUGAUGCAAUAGGACUCCAACUACACAGGGGUUCUGCUUAUGUUAGAAAAGCUUCCUGACUUUGUGUGCAGUCAAGUGCUGUGGCUUGUGGCCAAGGGAGGAUCUUUUCUUUUUUACCCAUGAAAGAUGACAUUGAUAUGUUGGAGUAAUGAGCCAGAAGAUAAACAUGAAUACAGACAAAUUCUGAAUUUGGAUUCAAAUAACAAGUUGCACAAAAACAAGGUAGGAGAGAUGUUUCUUGACAAUAAUUUGUAGAAAAAAAUUAUGUUUUGGCUGACUCAUUGUGAAUUAAUGGCAUGAAUAGCUGUUAAAAUUUUAUACUAGUAAUGGAGUAUCAUGUCUAAUAAUACAAAAAACAUCAACAUUCUAUGUGGCCACCAUUUAUGCUGCACUAACCAUGUACCAAGUACUGUGCUUAAUGCUUUUUUAUAUAUGACUACGACUCCUGAAAACCACAUUACUAUGUUCAUUUUAUGAAUGGAGAAACUUCGGUUCAAAGAGUUUAACUUGGCCAGGACACAGAGCUAGGACAUGAUGAAACCAAGUAUAUCUGACCAAAAAAGCUGUUGUUCUUCACCACUGAUUUUCUUGGUGCUCUAUGUGGGCCUGAACAUAUCUAGGACAUUUGGACUCAGUUGUAGAAGAUACAUUUUAAGACAGACAAUAACCAAACAGUGGCUUCAUAGGGAGGCUAUUAGCAUAGUAAAGAAUAUGGAAACCACAGCAUGUGGGGAAUGUUCGAAGAGAAGGAGGAUGUUUUGUGCAGAGGAGAGACAAUGGGAGGUGGAGGUCAGGAAUGAAAGGGUGUCAAAUGGAAGAGAGCAGACAUGUCCUGUGUGGCUCCAAAUGGCAGAACUGGAACAGCAGAUGGAAGCUACAGUGAAGCAGAUUUCAGCUUGACACAAGAACUAACUUUCUAAAGAAUAGAGAUGUGGGAUGAAGCUCUUGAACUCAUCCCCCUCCUCCCUCCAAGCCUGUACAGCCAUCUGUCAAAGAUGUUGGAUUUCAGGAAAGAGAUCCUUCCACCUCUAAGAGUCUGCGAUUUUCUAGAUGAGUUUAUAGUUUAUUUAAAAGAAAGGUAAAGACCAUUUGAGCUGAUUUAACAUGAAUCUUGUCUAGGGGCUGGGGGAUUACAUUAGACUCUGAGCUCCUUUCAGCCUUUUGAGCAGGUAACUCUUCUAUUGGGCCAUAACUGAGGCAUAUUUUAAAUCAGAAAGGAAGAAUAUUGUUUUUGUCCUGAAUCUAAAUCCUCCUUAAAAAUAAUAAUUCUUGGAUGGUAUUUUUGUAUUCAAUUCAUUUCAGUCUUUCCUGUGUGUUUAUUUUGUGUUCAGCCCUGCAUAGGUGAUAAAUUUGUAACCAUACCCCCUCUCUAGCCCAUCCCUCCUUACUACCACUCUAGGACAAGACCAUGAAUAGUCCUGCUUUUCAUGGCCCCUCCAAUUCCUCCUUUCCCUGAGGUACCUACAGGCAUUGUGCAGACAGAAGUUACCUGUGUUUGUAAUUCACAAACCCCAAAGAGCAGUGAAGAAAAAAGGAAUGAGUCUUACAUGAUUACAAGGAAGGAGGGGACAAAGCUGGCUCCAAGUGCAUUUCUACACAGUGUGGGUUGAAUUUUCUCUAGAGAAAGUGUGCUUAUUAUUGGUUUCCCACCAACCUUGUGGUGCAGAGGGCAUCUACGAAGUGCUAGAUGAAAUAGGAUCAUGUGCAAUUUCACAAGGUGUUCAAAGGGGAUAUAGAAUCUUGGUGUAAGAUUCGAAGAGCCCCAUUCCCUGAAAUUGUCCUUCUAUGGACCCGAAAUCUUACAAUUUUAACACUGUUCUUCUGAGUUAAGCAUUUCCCUAGCUAUUCUUCUAAAGGCAAGUCACCUGGGAGAUAAAAUACCUUAGCUCCUGAUGUCAGUACUGGAAAGGGAGUCUUCUUCCAGGAGGUAGUAGUAGUUUAUUGAUUACUUGCUUCAUGAUAGGUGCUGUCCUGAGCUCAUAUUAUUUUAAUCUUAGUUAAUAUUCACAACAGCACUAUAAUUAUAUAUCAUUACUGUCUGCAUUUUACAGAGGAGGAAACUGAGCCUUAGAAAGGUUAAGUACUUUGUCUAAGUUCACACAGCUAGUAAACGGUGGAGUCUGGAUUUGCCUUCAAAACCUAUAUUCUUAACCAGUAUGUAACAUUGUUGCUAGUGCUCUGUAGAUACAGUAAUUAUCUGACUUUCAGACACAGAAGAGAGCCCAGCUUAAGAAUGCUAUGUGUGUGUGUUGGGGGAGAGGGGGUAGGAGACACAGGAAGGUUUUAUUGUUAAUUAACCCUAAAUCCUAACCCUAGGUCAAUUAUUAAUCUAAAAUUUAUCUGAGAUGGUUAAUGUAAUGCUGACUUCUGACAUAGUAAGGUCAUCAUUAGCAUUUUACUAUUUGCCUCAAAGUCAACUGAAGUACAUAUCAGUAAGUAAUUACUUAUGGACUAACCCAGCUACAUUCUCUCUCCCUUCCUCCCUCCUUUCCUUCCUUCUUCCCUUCUUCCCUCUGGUUUCCUCCCUUCUCAGGUACUCAAUUAUUUCUGAGUAUUUGCUCUGUGCCUGGCACUGUGCUAUACGUUGAGGAUAUGAAGAUGAGUAAGUCUCAGUCUAUAUCUUUAGCGAUCUCACAGCCUGGAAGGAGAGUUAAAAAAUAAUUACUAUUCGACAUGGCAAUGGUUAUAAAGGAGCAGAUUUUCCAAACUGGUGUUUCAAGGAACAUUCUUUGGCAGGGUGUUAAGUAAGUGUACCAUGAAAAAGAAGUAUUUUGAGUUAAAAUAACUUGAGGAAAUGCUGGGUAAAAUAAAAUUAAGUAAGUUUUUUCUUCCUGGGGAAUUUUCAUACCCUUUAAAAUGCUAAUGUGCACUGUGAAUCUCCAAGAAGGGAAGAGAAUACAUUUUCCAAACUCAUUUGACCUCAUAACCUUCUUUUUACAUGACAUACUUAAUGAAAUAUUUGCUCAUUCUUCCAUCCAUGCAUCCAUCCAUCCAUCCAUCCAUUAUCCCUCCACCCAUCGUCCAUCUAUCUAUCUAUCUACUUAUCCAUCCAUCCAUCUAAACAUCUAUCCAUCCCUCCAGCCCUUCAUGAUGACCCACUAUGUGCCAGACACUGUACUACAUCCUGGGGAUCCAGCACGGAGUUUAGUAUUCUCUUGGGAAGAUAAGAAAGCAAACAAACAUAUACAAUUGUCAGAGUGUAGUAAGAUUCAUGUAGGAAAUAACUAGGGUUCUAUCAUGAGAAAAAAGCAGGGUGAUCCACUUAAGUACGUGGUCAAGAAAGCCCUCUGUGAGCAAAAGACAUUUCAGGCAAGUACCUGGAAAAAGAAAAUGAGCCAGUUUGCAAAGAGCAAGAAGAGCCAUCCAGGAAGAGGAAUCAGCAAGUGCCAAGUCCCUGGAAUGCAGAAAGCCUUGGCAAACAGAAAUUUGAGCUUCCUCCAGGAGUGCAGGUCUUCUUAAAGGCAGAAGGCUGGACCUGAUAUUAAAAAAUUAGAAUCUCAUCCUCAUAAUAUCACAGAGUUGGAGGAGACCCUGGCAACAUCGAUUCCAAGCUCUUAUUCAAGAAGGUCCCAUCUUGUAACAUACAGGGCUGUCUGCCACACUUGGCUGUUUAUAGGAUUUUCCUCUUUAGAUGGGAGGUUAACUUCAACCUCCUAAUGUAGCUGGUGAGAAUGUUGCUUGUGACAUUUCUCUUUCAUGUGAAAUGAGGACCAAAGAGGAUUCAACAUAUCACUAUGUUUUAAAGGAGAAACUUCUCUCAGAGGUGCAAAUCCCAAUACAAAUGAUCUUAAGUGGUAACCUUUGUUCUCUGUUAAAAAUGGGAAACAACAAGCCUGAAAAAGGAAAUUGACGAAGAAACAAUUUGGUUGUUCUUGACUCAGUGGCCAAGGAGGGAACACAGGUAACCCUGAUUCUUGAAGCCUGAGUGCCCUGCUCCCCAGACUUUACCUUCCAGUUCUCCCUGCAAGAUUAAACAUCCCCAAACACUAUUUUUGUGGUCUCUGCCCUGGUUCAAGGAGUUAUAAUGGAUCUUCUUUAUUGUCAAAUCAACAGAAAACCUCUCAGCAAGACAUUCAGGACUAUCUAUUAUUAUCAUCAUUUUCUUCUGGCUGACCCUCUUCCUUCUCUUUCACUUCCCCCAACACAUAGGUGCUCUCUCUUUUUCUCUUUCUCUGAACGUGUUUCAGCAUGGAAUUAAGGACACACAUACACACACAAAAGAAAAAAAAUUGGGCUUUGGUAUUGCAGCUGUAGCUUUGAUCUUCUUUUUAAAAAAUUUUUAUUGAUUUAUUUAAAUUUUUUAGUUUUUAUUUCUUCUAAAAAAUGGGAUACAUAUGCACAACAUGCAAGCUGGAGCUUUGCUCUUUCUUAUGCUGCUUGUUGUUUGCCUGACUGUGCAUCUUGCAGACCUUUAGCUUCUUCAUCUGCAUUCAUAGGUAGUAGUAAUAAUAUUUAUCAAGUAAUAAUAAUAAUGGUUACACAAGACUGUUGUUAUUUGAACUCACCUGUCACAAUAUCUUCCCACUAUGGGCUAGGACAGACUCCUUCCUCUGGAAUCUAAUUCUUCUAUGUUGCUUGCCCUCUGCUGAGGUCCUUUCUCUUUGGAGACAAGAGAAUCCUUCUGAUUCUCCCCUCCCAUUUGGACUUCAUGGCCCUUACUUAGCUAUUUAGAGUUGGCCUUUAAAAUGGCAGACUUUGUUUCCCAUUUUCUCUACUUUUUGCUAUCAGAGGCCACCCAGCUUUCCUCCAUUCCCAGUUCUUGUGUCCAAGCUAACACAGCCUGUGUGAGAGCCUUUGGCUCUUGCUUACUUUGGAGGGAGAAUUGGAAAGUUAUUCUCUGAGGUCCAACCUUGGUAAGCAGAGACAAUGAAGAUCUAGUCCUAUCCCCUUGGCCAGUUUUCAGUCAAGACCUCUUCUUUGUUGGCUAUACAAGGAACUCUGGUAUUGGUAUCUGGUCUACCUCUGUAGCCUCAUGGUCUGGUGACUCUCACAUGUCACUGGACACAGUCUGAAGCUAGCCAUGACUUCUAGAUCCUUGACUUACUAUAACCUCAGCUAAUUCAACAGGAAGAUAGAAGAGUUGCAUUCAGAACCUAGAAUCCAGCAUGUCCUAGCUCUUGCCAUAGCCCUCGCCACAUCAAUUGACAUUCCCAAAUAAGCUUCUGCAGGUCAUCUAUACAUCCUUCCUCUUUUCUACUGUAGAUGCCACAAGUUCACAGGUAACGAGAUGUGGGUUGCUUAUGUCCUUUUCCUGCUGUUUCUCUGGUUGGGGAAGCACUAGGGAAAGAGGAACUUCUUCUGAUGCUCAGGGCCUCUGUCAAGACUGCUUGGAUGGCAAUGUGCGAUGGCAAUUUGCAAUGGCUCGGGCUAGCGUGGUGGGGUCAUAGCAUCAUCCAAGGCUCUAGCACAGACCUAGUAGUGACUCUGUUAGGGUCUGAAUAUCCAAAAUUCAUAGGUUGAAAUCCUAAACCCCAAUGAGAUGCUAUUAAGAGAUGGGAGGUGAUUAGAUUAUGAAGGCAGAGCCCUUAUAAAAGGGAUGAGUGCCCUUAUAAAAGAGGCCCAAGAAAGCUCAUUCGUCACUUCCACUAUGUAAGGACAGAGUGAGAAGGUUCAAGCCAGGAGAGAACAGGCUAUCACCAAACACUACAUCUGCAACUCUUUGAUAUUAGACUUCUCAGUCUCCAGAACCGUGUAAAUAACUUUUAUGAGUAAAUCAGUUUAUGGUAUUUUGUUAUAGCAGUGUGAAUAGACUAAGACGUUCCUACCUAGAAAAUGCCUCUUUCCUUGUCACUGGCUGGAGAAGAAUGAUUUAGAAGAGUGCAUCCAAUUCUGGAACAGAUUCAAGGAUGUUAUUGUGUAUCAACUGGUGAUUUCAAUACUCUUGUCCUUGCUGCAAGAAAAAAAUGCGUUGGAACUUGGGAUGUGUGUAAAGGAGGAAGGAGUGCUUUAUGUAUUUCUCCAGCAGAAUUUCGCUAAUAUCUCAUUAGUUACAUUGUUACAUGAUCACCUCUAAUAGCAAGGAAGGCCAGGAAAUGGUCUUUGAAACUAAGUGCAUUGCCUCCCUGAAUUAAAUUGGAAUUCUAUUUGUAGGAAGGAAAAGUGAUAGCAUUUGGUAGGCAACUACAGUGUUUAUCAUCUCUAAUGACACCAGUCAACCUACCUUACCUACCAUUUCUCUGAGCUCCUUCUCUUGGAACAUUUCAUCCUAUAGCUACCUUUUCUCUGUGUUUUUUCUCAGUGUUGCCAGAACCCAGGUCAGGAUCUCAAUAGAGGGCAGGCCACCUUAAAGGAACUAUAAUGUGCUUCUGGUGGUCUCAGGAUCGGUGUAAAAAGCAUUCUGACCAGUUCUUGGUCCCAGAAGUCAUCUAAGAGGGAAACAGUGAUUAACUCUUCUUCUUAAUGAGAUGCUGGAAGACCAUUUGGAGCCUUGGAAUAGUGAUGAAUAGUUUAGCACCAUCCCCUUGGUGAUAAGUGAGUUUUGCUUAAUUAGUUUGCGGGAGAUCUGGUUGUUUUAAAGAGUCUGGGACCUGCCUCUUCUCUCUCUCUUGCUCCUGCUCUUGCCAUGUGACGCACUUACUCCCCCUUUACCUUCAUCCAUGACUAUAAGCUUCCUAAGGCCUCACCAGAAGCAGAUGCUGGCACCAGACUUCCUGUACAGCCUACAGAACCAUGAGCCAACAGGGACCAUCAACCUAGUGGUGUUGCAACCUAGUCCACUCACAUCAUUUCUCAUGUCUUUCCUGUUCAGCUCACUCUGAGCCACUGCUGUCCUAGGUUACAAGCUUCUUAUGAACAGAGCUAUGACUUAGACACCCUCAUGGGUACAAACAAUAGGCGUACAUUAAGCAUGUCAUAGACUAAUUAAAUGGAAUCCGUAGCAACAUGUUGGGUUGCAGAAUUUUGCCUCUUUAAGAAAGCAUUUACUAAUUAAGGAAAAGUAGGAGACACAUCUUUCGUCUCUUCCUUCGCUAUGGUUUGGAUGUCGUUUGCCCCACCAAAACGCAUGUUAAAAUGUGAUCCCCAGUACGCAGUGUGGAGGCAGGGCCUCGUGGGAGGCGUUAGGGUCAUAGGGGUAGAUUCCUCAUGAAUAGAUUAAUGUACUCCCUUGUGGGUGAGUGAGUCUUAGUUCUCAUGGGAAUGAAUUAAUUCCUUUGUUAGUCCAUUUUUUCAUUGCUAUAAAGAAAUACCUGAGGCUGGGUAAUUUAUAAAGAAAAGAGAUGUAAUUGGCUCAUGGUUCUGCAGGCUGUACAGGAAGCAUCUGCUUCUGGUGAGACCUUAGGAAGCUUACAGUCAUGGCUGAAGGCAAGGGGGAGUAGGGGCAUCCUAUGGUGGGUGCAGGAGCAAGAGAGAAAGAAGAGGGAGGUCCCAGAGUUUUUUAAACAACUGGAUCUCCUGUGUGCUAACUGAGAAAGAACUCACUUAUCACUAAGGGGAUGGUGCUAAACUACUCAUGAGGGAUCUGGCCCCAUGAUGCAAUCACCUCCACCAGGCCCCACCUCCAACUUUGGAAAUCAUAUUUCCAAGUGAGAUUUUGAGGGGACAAACAUCCAAACUGUAUCAGUUCCCAUAAGAGCAGGUUAUUAAAAGGAGUCUCACUUCCUUGAUUUUUCUCUUCCCAUGUGAUCUCUUUGUACACGCUGGCUCCUCUUCCACUUUCCGCCGUGAAUUCAAGCAGCAGGAGACUCUCACCAGAUGCAGUUACUUAAUCUUGUAAUUUUCAGCCAUCAGAAUCAUGAGCAAAAUAAACUUAUUUUCUUUAAAAUGAUCUUGAAUGGUGAUAGGCUCUAGACCUUGGUCUUCUCAGUGGAGAAACCUAUUCUUGCUUCAGGUAAAAAUACUCCAAUAUGUGCUACAUAGGUAGGUCAGAAGCAUUGUUUUAAAUCAAGGCACCACAUUAUUUAUGUGUGCUUCUUGGGUGGUCUGAAUCAGGACCCCAGGAUUAGCAUAGUGCUAAAAAAGUAGACUUGCUGCAUCAUUCUGGAGGCCCACAUAUUUAUUAUGUAGCCACUGACUCACUCCUUACACUUGCAACUCUAGUCACAGAACACCUUUUAACUUCAGAUAUGAAGGAUACCUUAGUUUGGUCACUCUGUGACACUGUAACUUAGGGCUUCUCAUCAAAGUCUUGGCCCUGACCUCAGAGUUCCAGGAUCAGUGGCCUCAGCUAGGGCCUAGUUAGUGACAUUUUUAGAUACCCUCCUUCCUCAAGUAAUACUAAUUGUGCAUCCUAUAGUGUAAAACCACCUCAAAACCCCAGUGAGAAACUGAACUGUAGACUCCAUUAACCCCAGUCACAAAUAAGCUCCCUGAUGUCAUUCACAGUUGAUCCCGACUUCAACACACUGGCUUCUAAAUCUUGUCAAUCACUGAUAUGAUGUCAUACCAGACCCAACAUGCCAUCCACCCCAUGUCACCACAGAGAAAAUCUAAAACUUCCAUUCCAUUUGGUCACAUGUUUGAAUUUUAGCUCUGGAAAUAUAUAAUUCUGUAACUGAUGGCAUAGACCAUCUUUAAUUCCAGAAAGAAUGACCUCCUACUUUGGCUACAGUUUCUUCUUAAUUCCAGCUUUGAACCAAUCUCUAAAGCUGGCCACAGACUGAGCCCAAGACCAGACCCAAGUUACCCCAUAAUCAUGAUCAUCCACUUUAUAUUUUGUCUGACCACUCCUGGAUUCUUUCUUUGGUCAUAGAUUGCUCUAUACUUGAUAAAUUAUAAAUGUAUAACCCUAGCCACAAAUGGAACCCAGAGCUUCAGCCUCAGUCCAUCCUCAAACUCUAGCCAUAAAUUAACAACCCAGAAAGAUUUCUCUCUUUGGCUAACUAAAAAUCAGAAUUAUCAUCAAUUUUUAAAUGAAAAAUUUAAAUAUAUAUAAAUGUCAAGAAACCAGUAUAGUGAGCCCUAGUAUGUAUUUCCCAGCUCCAACAAUUACCAGUACAGUCUUUUUUUCAUUCAUAACCUUACUGACUCCUUUUUCCUCCCUCUCUUUGAUUAUUCUGAAGGAAAUGCCGACAUCAUUAUAUCCUAUCAUCUGUAUGUGUUUUGGUUUGUAUCUCUAAAAUGUAAGGGCUCUGUUGAAAAAGAUUGACAGGUUAAAACCAUGACAUAAUUGUUACACCUAAAACUUAAAAAUUCCUUAUGCACAAAUAUCUAGCAAGUGAUUUUAUUUCUCCAAUUUUUUAUAUGUAGAAUUUUCAGUUUGAUCAAAAUAAGUUACUUGUUAUUUGUUAAAUAAAUACAUUGUUAUUGGUUGAUAUGCCUGUGUCUUUUAAUAUAUAGGUUUCCUCUUUAUUACUAUUGUUAUUGCAUUUUUUGUUGCUGUUGUAGGAACUAUUAACUGCCAACUAUUAAGCUCUAAAUAUGGGCCCACACUGAUGCUUAGUUCUGGUCACUGAUGCACCAGCACAAACUGUCCCAGAGAAGGAAGGCUCUAAUCCCAAGGGAUGCAAGCCAGGGAGUGGGUGGCAUAUCCCUCAGUACAGCCACUAACCAUGAAACUCCACAAAGCUUCUGCCCUCCAACUGGUGAAGAACAUCUGGCUGGCAUAUCAAACGAUGGCCAAAUCUUGCAUUUAUCAUGGUCAUUCUGUUCUCUCACUGCUAUUUCCUGACACAGAAUCGUGGCAGCAAAGAUGAAGCUAAACAGCCUGUGUAUACAUAUGGAAAAUUUAAAUUCACAUGGGCAGGAUAGGCUCAUGCUGUCCUUGCCCAUGCUUAGUCUGACUAUGGCAAUAAAACUCACACAAGACAUGAUUUACAAUCCAGAGCUACAGUUGCUAAGAUAAGCCACUAAGGUGGACCAUUAAGGUGGCAGUGUCAACAUUUGCAGGAGUUUAGAGAAGGGAAAGAAAUUGAGGCAUCACCCAGUGGGAGAGAGAAGUGUACAGAUAGCUUUCAUCAUGGAGAAAAAUAACCCUAAUGUCAAAAUGACCAGGUUUUGGUGAUGAGGACUUGAUUGUUUCCACAAGCAGCUAGUUUAUAUUUGAGUGCUGAGAUUUUUGAAGCAUUUGGCAUGAUUAGCAUUGAGUGAAGUAGCAAAAAUCAGCAUCUUCAGCAACUUGAUAUGGCCUUCAGAGAAUGAUGCUCAAACUUCUUGGCCAAUAUUCAAGUCUCUGCCCAUCAUAUUCUCGCCUAUUUUGACAGCCACAUCUCCUUCUGCUCUACUGGACUCUUCCCCAGCCAGACUGAGCUCCUCUCUGCUUCCCAAACAGGACAUGUACUUUUCUCUAUUUUUGCAUCAUCUGCUCAUAUGUUCCCUUACUCUUGGAAUGCCCUUCCCAAGCCCUGUGCACGUGCUAUCCAGGAACUUGGAUGAUAACUCUUGGACGAAACAGGAACUGUUAAGAAGCAGCAGGAGGUGCUCCUUAAACACAGAAGAAACCAAAAGAAAGAUUUGUUUAAAAUGACCCAGAGCUUGGGGCUAGGAAGUUCCUGGAUACCUAGACAGCUGGAAGAGGAGCAUGAACCAGGAGGCCAGGAGAGAACUCACUCCAACCUGGUGCCCUCACUAUGGCACAAGUCAUCCAAAGAGAAAAGCUCCAUGAAAACAUGUUAAGCAAAAUUAUUCGUUCUCAUUUCUUAAUGUAGCUUUCUGAUUUAAUGGGAAAAAAAUGCUUGUUUUGGUUUAAAUUUCUCUAGUUUUUAGAUACCAUUUUCUCUCCCAAACUAGGUCAUUUGAAUUAUCUGCUGAUAGUUCAAAUCUGUAGAUAAUUUGCUUUUACUCACAUUCCUAAGAACUAAUUACCUGUACAUAUAAAAUGAUGAAAUCUCAUUAUAUUUUCUUUUAAAACUCUGACAUGCAUUUAAUUACAUUAGUCAAUUAUUACUGUACAUGCUGAGGAUUUGCUAUUGACCAGCUCGUGCUGGAAUAUUUACUGCACAGAUGUGUUACUUUAAUUAAACAAAUGUGAUUACACACAUAUCAAUUUUUAUUUGGUUUCAAAGCCCAGAAUCUAAAAGUGACGCAGUUGGCAGAGCUGUGUGGUGUGGUGCUGGUUCCCAGGAACACAGCAAGAGGCACUUUACUGAGGGAACGCUGCGUGCCUGCAACUCUGCGUGGGAGACUUCAGCCACAAGUGGGUUUUUGUCUGUGUGUAAGUGACAUUGAGUGAACCCAAGAAGGGAACAAACAAACCAGCCCUGAAUCUUUCUAGCACAUCUUCAGCUUUGCUCUCUUAUAUAUAGGAGGUGAGGGACAGUGCUUGGAGAAUCUGCAGGAAAACUAAUCUAAAACCCAGUCCAUUUGAGAGUGGGAGUUGCUUGGAACUGGUCCUUGGUUAAAUAGGCCAGCUGGUAUUUCUCUUUAAAAUCAGGGAUGAAAUUGGACAACACUAGAACAUUGAACUUGGUCUCUUGGGCUUUUCCUGCCAUAUUCUACAGCAACUCCCUAAGCCAUCAGGUUGGCAUCAAGAAAGAAGUCCACCUCCCAGUGCCUAGUCCCAAACAAGCAGUUUUGAGGAACAAUGUGAAGAAUUAGAUGGAAAAUAUGAACGUGCUUUACAAACUGGAGAAAUAUAAAAUUAUCUACAACUCUUGCUAAAAUGAUUACACAUAUCAGGCAAAGAGUAACUAGUGUUGGUUAUUAAUAAAGGCAGUAAGUCAACUCAUUAAUCAGCAAACACUGAGCACUGUAUGAACUGGUUUCUGGUGGGCACAAACAGAAAGACAGGAUUUUGUGCACAUGAAUGAAGACUAGUUGUUUUCCUUGGCCUUGGACACAAGGGAUUGCUGUGUUGGUUGUCAAGGGUAUCUGUGUCUGGGAUGCAUGGCUAUGGCACCUGAAGAACCAAUCCAAUUGGUCAAGUCAACCAAAAGUUCUGCUUAAAUAGUUUCCAGUCAUUUUGGAUCUAGGUAGUGUCUCUGAGGAUGAGAUUGGGAGCCAAAGAGAUGGGACACGCUUGUGCUCCCAAAUUCACCCUGAGCAUCAAGAAUUCACUGAAAUGCUGGAGAGCAUGUCAUCCACUCCAGGCUCAGAGGGAGGUAAAGGAGAGGCAGCAAGUUGUUGCGAAAAGUAAAGAAAGUGCAGGCUGGAGGUGAGACAGAGAAGCACACGAAGAGCAGGUGCAACACCCAGAUGUGUGGCUUCAACCACUUAUCAUGACAGUGCCCUAUCUAACAGUGAUGAUGAAACCCAUCUCAUAGUGUUGUUACGGGGAUUAUGAACCAUAUAUGUGUGAUGCCCAGAACUUAGUACAUUCUCAGGAAAUUGCUGUUGGAGAUGAUGAGGAUAAUAGGGUUGAUGUGGAGCAGCUGGGAAUGAUUAAUUUUUGGGAAAAAAAGUUGUUUUCAUUCACUUUGCCUAUGCCAUUCUUCUUUCAGCAUUUGGUGCAGCACUGACCCAUUCCCCUUCUCACCUCAAGACAAAAGCCUACAUAGGUACCUUUGCAGAGCGUUAAGAGAAGGAAAGUUAUCUGGUCCAGCUCCCUUGAAAUGAAUUGCAUAACUCUUUCAGCUAUGUAGUGGCAGAAUUAGGAAACGAAUCUGGGUCUCUUACUUUGAGGUAAAUGCUCCUUACCUUGCAUAUUUUUAUGGGAUGAAUAUUAUACAUCACCUACAGAGAUAUGCAUUUAAAAAGAGAAGUAUGAGGAAGGCAAUAAUUAACCCAAACUAGAAGUGGUAUUUCAGACAUUUCUGUUUUAUCAAGUGAGACACUGUUGGGAUAUUGCUGGCAUAUACACCCUCCCAGUAGCUCUUGGAAGGGGCCAGCAUUUUCCUAUGAAUUAGACUUGAGGUUUCCAACUCAUGUGGGUUGAAAUAUUGACCCUUCAACCAAGUGGAGUUUGGGCUUCUUCAGGUUCCACAUUCUCUCUCCUUCACCCUGAGUACCUUAUGCAAAUAUGAUCAUUUUCUGUGAGUGCCGUGAAGUUAGAAAGUCUGGGAAGCAUCAGCUUAGCUGGACUAGCUGAUCCAUAAGACCAGGCUUUGCCUGUGAAGAGCUAAACGAUCAGCAUAUAACAUUAUUUGAGCUUCAGUUUCCCUGUCAGUGAAAUUGAUAUAAUUCUUAUCUGGCAGUUUUGCUGUAAAGAUUCAUUGAGAUAGUCCAGUAUAGUGUCUAAAAUAGCAUAGAUGCCUAAAUUCACUGUGAGUAGAAUGUACCACUAUUUUUUUUGGGGGGCUUGUAAUUUUAUUUGUUAAAAUAGAGAACACAAAGAACUUCUGGCUUUCCACUACUGUCACAGCUGACUGAUUGAGCUUUGAGCUUUGGCUGUGACCUGUUUCUACCUUACGUCGAGUUCCAUUUAAUCCACCAGCAAAGACCUGGUCUGAUGUGGUCACUAUGGCUUAGGGUAGCAAAACUGGAGCUAGGCCCUGCUGUCCUCACUUCCUCAAAAGCACCCAGGGCUCAGCUCAGGCCUAUCCCUGCACCCCAACCCCACCCCACUCCCCAGCUGCUGAUCUCAUUCUUUUGCCAGGGCCAAUUAUAAUUAAAACCAGAUUUGUAGGGAGAAACAUGCGUGCACACACAGCCAAAGCCUGGAAUUGCUUACCCAAAAACAAGUUCCCUCCUCCUUCUGCUCCAGUUCUUCCGCCUUACCAAGAGUAGGGGAGGGAGGUGGGGAGAAGAAAUGGGAUUUGCACUGGAUGUGCUGAAGCAAGGUGAUCCUGGACAAAUGACAGGCAAGCAGUCAUCCUCCACCUCGCUGGUCUUGGACUAACUCAGGGCAGCAGCCUCAGGUUGCCCAGUGGAGUCCAGCCCAGCAGUAGCACUUGGCCUUCCCUCCCUUGGGGUGGGUCACUGUGGGUUGAGCCCAGCACCAUGGGGGCCAGGGCUGGGCUGCUUGCCCACUGUACCUCAUUAUGUAUUCCUUCAUUGUUUCCUAUGCAAAUUAAGUUAAUGAGAAUUAGGAACAUAAUGGAGCCCAUUCACCGUUCUAGUCGCUGGAAAAUGGGUUUGACUACCAAUUUUCCAUUACAGCUGUUUUGUAAUUACCGUGGAAUACUCUGAAUUCUAAUGGAGACGCUGAGCUGCCUGACAGCCUCUUGACUACUUUUUUUUUUUUCCGGAAGGUUGAAAAAAGGAAACUCAAACCCUAUAACAUAAAAGCCUUUCUAUCAGAGUGCCUUGGUUUGCUUCUUUUAUGGAGCGGUCCUCCACUGUUGCAGGAAGGAUCUGCUUCCAUCACUGGAGUCCUGACCUUUGCUGUGAUUAGACUAGUUAACCUGUGGUGCCAGAGUUAUCCCUUGCCUUGCAAGCAAGCAAAGCAGAGUUUGCAUUUACACUCAGCCAGGAGUGGCCCUAUGGGGCGGGCCAGGGCAAUCCAGGGUCCAAGUGCACCACUGCUCCUG